rnacentral:rRNA from 1 species
GACAGAGGGUGCAAACGUUGUUCGGAAUUACUGGGCGUAAAGCGCGUGUAGGCGGCUAAGUAAGUCGGGCGUGAAAUCCCACGGCUCAACCGUGGAAGUGCACUCGAAACUGCAUAGCUAGAGUCCUGGAGAGGAAGGUGGAAUGCUUGGUGUAGAGGUGAAAUGCGCAGAUAUCAGGAGGAACACCAAUGGCGAAGGCAGCACUCUGGGACGGUACUGACGCUGAGACGCGAAAGCGUGGGGAGCGAACAGG